rnacentral:rRNA from 1 species
UUUGUCGCGUCGUUUGUGAAAACCAACAGCUCAACUGCUGGCUUGAGGCGAUACGGGCAGACUUGAGUACUGCAGGGGAGACUGGAAUUCCUGGUGUAGCGGUGAAAUGCGCAGAUAUCAGGAGGAACACCGGUGGCGAAGGCGGGUCUCUGGGCAGUAACUGACGCUGAGGAACGAAAGCGUGGGUAGCGAACAGGAUUAGAAACCCCAGUAGUCCCCGCCGUAAACGGUGGGCGCUAGGUGUGGGUUCCUUCCACGGAAUCCGUGCCGUAGCUAACGCAUUAAGCGCCCCGCCUGGGGAGUACGGCCGCGAGGCUAAAACUCAAAGGAAUUGACGGGGGCCCGCACAAGCGGCGGAGAUUGUGGAUUAAUUCGAUGCAACGCGAAGAACCUUAC